CCUACGGGUGGCAGCAGUGAGGAAUAUUCGGCAAUGGACGAAAGUCUGAACCAGCCACGCAGCGUGAAGGAUGACUGUCUUCGGGGCUUUAAACUUUUUUUUUAUGGGAAUACAUAGUUCUAAGUGAGUGUGCUCGUAUUUACCAUACCUAUUCAGAACGGCUAACUUCGUGCCAGCAGCCGCGGUAAUACGGAGGGUCCGAGCGUUAUCCGGUUUUAUUGGGUUUAAAGGGAGCGUAGGUGGGUUGUUAAGUCAGAUGUGAAAGGUUACGGCUCAACCGUACAGUUGCAGUUGAAACUGGAAGACUUGAGUGCAGUAGAGGAGAGCGGAAUUCGUGGUGUAGCGGUGAAAUGCGUAGAGAUAACGAAGAACUCCAGUUGCGAAGGCAACUCACUGGACUGUAACUGACGCUGAGGCGCGAAAGUGUGGGGAUCAAACAGGAUUAGAUACCCUGGUAGUC
rnacentral:rRNA from 1 species